rnacentral:rRNA from 1 species
CUCUCCAAAUUGUUUUUGCUUGCAUAAAUGAUUUUUGGAUUCGGAGCGAGUGGCGAACUGGUGAGUAACACGUGGGUAACCUGCCCCGAAGCGGGGGAUAACAUUUGGAAACAAGUGCUAAUACCGCAUAAUUAGUUGGAACCGCAUGGUUCCAACUUGAAAGAUGGCUCUGCUAUCACUUUGGGAUGGACCCGCGCCGUAUUAGUUAGUUGGUGAGAUAAAAGCCCACCAAGACGAUGAUACGUAGCCGACCUGAGAGGGUAAUCGGCCACAUUGGGACUGAGACACGGCCCAGACUCCUACGGGAGGCAGCAGUAGGGAAUCUUCCACAAUGGACGAAAGUCUGAUGGAGCAACGCCGCGUGAGUGAUGAAGGUUUUCGGAUCGUAAAACUCUGUUGUUAAAGAAGAACAAGUGUUAGAGUAACUGUUAACACUUUGACGGUAUUUAACCAGAAAGCCACGGCUAACUACGUGCCAGCAGCCGCGGUAAUACGUAGGUGGCAAGCGUUGUCCGGAUUUAUUGGGCGUAAAGCGAGCGCAGGCGGUUUUGUAAGUCUGCUGUGAAAGCCCUCAGCUCAACUGAGGAAGUGCAGUGGAAACUACAAAACUUGAGUACAGAAGAGGAAAGUGGAACUCCAUGUGUAGCGGUGAAAUGCGUAGAUAUAUGGAAGAACACCAGUGGCGAAGGCGGCUUUCUGGUCUGUUACUGACGCUGAGGCUCGAAAGCAUGGGUAGCGAACAGGAUUAGAUACCCUGGUAGUCCAUGCCGUAAACGAUGAAUACUAGGUGUUGGAGGGUUUCCGCCCUUCAGUGCCGCAGCUAACGCAUUAAGUAUUCCGCCUGGGGAGUACGACCGCAAGGUUGAAACUCAAAGGAAUUGACGGGGGCCCGCACAAGUGGUGGAGCAUGUGGUUUAAUUCGAUGCUACGCGAAGAACCUUACCAGCUCUUGACAUCUUCUGCCAACCCAAGAGAUUGGGCGUUCCCUUCGGGACAGAUGACAGGUGGUGCAUGG